rnacentral:rRNA from 1 species
AUUGAACGCUGGCGGCAGGCCUAACACAUGCAAGUCGAGCGGAGCGGCGGACGGGUGCGUAAUGCCUAGGAAUCUGCCUGGUAGUGGGGGAAAACGUCCGGAAACGGGCGCUAAUACCGCAUACUAUCAGAUGAGCCUAGGUCGGAUUAGCUAGUUGGUGGGGUAAAGGCAUACCAAGGCGACGAUCCGUAACUGGUCUGAGAGGAUGAUCAGUCCCACUGGAACUGCGACACGGUCCAGACUCCGACGGGAGGCCGCAGUGGGGAAUAUUGGACAAUGGGCGGAAGCCUGAUCCAGCCAUGCCGCGUGUGUGAAGAAGGUCUUCGGAUUGUAAAGCACUUUAAGUUGGGAGGCGUUACCAACAGAAUAAGCACCGGCUAACUUCGUGCCAGCAGCCGCGGUAAUUC